GGUAGCAUAAUCAUUAGUCUUUUAAUUGAGGGCUUGUAUGAAUGAUUGGACGAGAUAUAAACUGUCUCUAAUAGAUUUAUAAAAUUUUAUUUUUUAGUAAAAAAGCUAAAAUUUUUUUAAAAGACGAGAAGACCCUAUAGAUCUUUAUACUUAAUAGUAAAUAUUUUUAUAGGAUUAUUUAAGUAUUACUUAUUAUUAAGUAUUAUAUUGGGGUGAUAUUGAAAUUUAUAAAACUUUCAAUUAUUAUAAACAUUAAUUUAUGARUUGUUGAUCCAUUAUUAUUGAUUAAAAAUUUAAGUUACCUUAGGGAUAACAGCGUAAUUAUUUUGGAGAGUUCAAAUCGAUAAAGUAGAUUGCGACCUCGAUGUUGGAUUAAGAUUAAUUCUAGGUGCAGUAGCUUGGAAUAUUAAGUCUGUUCGACUUUUAAUAUCUUACAUGA
rnacentral:rRNA from 1 species